GUUGCAGGCACACUUGGUAUUAGUAUGGAAGAAACUG
rnacentral:sRNA from 1 species